rnacentral:misc_RNA from 1 species
UGACUGCUCCCUAGCAUGCUACUACCG